AGCGAACGCUGGCGGCAGGCCUAACACAUGCAAGUCGAACGGGCGUCGCAAGACGUCAGUGGCAGACGGGUGAGUAACGCGUGGGAACGUGCCCUUCGGUUCGGAAUAACCCAGGGAAACUUGGGCUAAUACCGGAUACGCCCGCAAGGGGAAAGAUUUAUCGCCGAAGGAUCGGCCCGCGUCCGAUUAGCUAGUUGGUGGGGUAACGGCCCACCAAGGCGACGAUCGGUAGCUGGUCUGAGAGGAUGAUCAGCCACACUGGGACUGAGACACGGCC
rnacentral:rRNA from 1 species